AAUCAACGCUGGCGGCGUGCCUCAGACAUGCAAGUCGAACGAUUAAAGCUCCCUUCGGGGAGUGCAUAAAGUGGCGCACGGGUGAGUAACACGUAAGUAAUCUACCCUCGGGUGGGGAAUAACGUCCGGAAACGGACGCUAAUACCGCAUAAUGCAGCGGCACCGCAAGGUGACAGUUGUUAAAGAUUUAUUGCCUGGGGAGGAGCUUGCGGCAGAUUAGCUUGUUGGAAGGUAACGGCUUACCAAGGCUACGAUCUGUAUCCGGUCUAAGAGGACGGUCGGACACACUGACACUGAAUAACGGGUCAGACUCCUACGGGAGGCAGCAGUCGGGAAUUUUGGGCAAUGGGGGAAACCCUGACCCAGCAACGCCGCGUGAAGGAUGAAGUAUUUCGGUAUGUAAACUUCGAAAGAAUAGGAAGAAUUAAUGACGUACUA
rnacentral:rRNA from 1 species